CGGGUAGAGUAAUGCGUGACCAACCUGCCCCAUGCUCCAGAAUAGCUCUUGGAAACGGGUGGUAAUGCUGGAUGCUCCAACUUGACGCAUGUCUUGUUGGGAAAGUGUUUAGUGGCAUGGGAUGGGGUCGCGUCCUAUCAGCUUGUAGGCGGGGUAAUGGCCCACCUAGGCUUCGACGGGUAGCCGGCAUGAGAGGGCGGACGGCCACAUUGGGACUGAGAUACGGCCCAGACUCCUACGGGAGGCAGCAGUU
rnacentral:rRNA from 1 species